GCCCAGAAUAGAAUUUUAGUUCAACUUUAAACUUGCCUACAAAACUUAAAAAUUUUAAUGCAAGUUUAAAAUAUAUUCUAAAAAGGUACAGCUUUUUAGAAUCAAGGAUACAACCUUACUUAGAGAGUAAGUAUUAAUUAAGUCAUAGUAGGCCUAGAAGCAGCCAUCAAUUAAGAAAGCGUUUAAGCUCGACACCCAUAUCAACUUAAUACCAAAAAUAUUUAACUAACUCCUAAUAUAACAACUGGGCUAAUCUAUUUUAAUAUAGAAGCAAUAAUGCUAAUAUGAGUAACGAGAGAUAUCUCUCCAAUGCAUAGGCUUAUACCAGCAACGGAUGACCACUGAUAGUUAACAACAACGUAGAAAUAGUCCAACAAUAAAACAUCUACCAAACCAAUUGUUAAUCCAACACAGGUAUGCAACUAAGGAAAGAUUAAAAGAAGUAAAAGGAACUCGGCAAACAUGAGCCCCGCCUGUUUACCAAAAACAUCACCUCCAGCAUUUCUAGUAUUGGAGGCACUGCCUGCCCGGUGACAUUAGUUAAACGGCCGCGGUAUUCUGACCGUGCAAAGGUAGCAUAAUCAUUUGUUCUCUAAAUAAGGACUUGUAUGAAAGGCCACACGAGGGUUUAACUGUCUCUUACUUCCAAUCAGUGAAAUUGACCUUCCCGUGAAGAGGCGGGAAUAAAAUAAUAAGACGAGAAGACCCUAUGGAGCUUCAAUUAACUAGCCUAAAAGAUUCUAUCUACCAGACCGACAGGAACAACAUACUUCUUCUAUGGGCUAACAAUUUGGGUUGGGGCGACCUCGGAGCAUAAAACAACCUCCGAGUGAUAUUAAUCUAGACAUACUAGUCAAAAUGCUCACUUACUUAUUGAUCCAAAACUUCUUUGAUCAACGGAACAAGUUACCCUAGGGAUAACAGCGCAAUCCUAUUUAAGAGUCCAUAUCGACAAUAGGGUUUACGACCUCGAUGUUGGAUCAGGACAUCCUAAUGGUGCAGAAGCUAUUAAGGGUUCGUUUGUUCAACGAUUAAAG
rnacentral:rRNA from 1 species